rnacentral:rRNA from 1 species
UACAGAGGGUGCAAGCGUUGUUCGGAAUUAUUGGGCGUAAAGCGCGUGUAGGCGGCUUUGCAAGUCGGGUGUGAAAGCCCUCAGCUCAACUGAGAAAGUGCGCCCGAAACUGCAGAGCUUGAGUACCGGAGAGGAUGGUGGAAUUCCCCAAGUAGAGGUGAAAUUCGUAGAUAUGGGGAGGAACACCGGUGGCGAAGGCGACCAUCUGGACGGAUACUGACGCUGAGACGCGAAAGCGUGGGGAGCAAACAGG